UCGGAACCGGUUUUUUGCAAAAACUUAGAAAUAACCAUAUUUUUCGAAUUAUUUUAUAUUCGAAAUGUAGGACUCAGUUGUGUUUUUAGGUUACGACUUCGUAUUAUUAGAUUGCCCAAUUAGAAAUGAAGUAAUUAACAAAGAACGAAAAAAUACCGUUUCCGUUCCCAUACAAAAAAUACCGGUAUCCGAUCCCUGGUUUCAAAGCACGAGGGUUAAACAAAAUUUGCCCCCGAGUGAAACACAAAAUUAUUCACCACACCAACCCGAAGCAAAUAUUAACUGUAAGAUA